GACGAACGCUGGCGGCGUGCCUAAUACAUGCAAGUAGAACGCUGAAGGAGGAGCUUGCUUCUCUGGAUGAGUUGCGAACGGGUGAGUAACGCGUAGGUAACCUGCCUGGUAGCGGGGGAUAACUAUUGGAAACGAUAGCUAAUACCGCAUAAUAUUGACUAUUGCAUGAUAGUCAGUUGAAAGGUGCAACUGCACCACUACCAGAUGGACCUGCGUUGUAUUAGCUAGUUGGGGGGGUAACGGCUCACCAAGGCGACGAUACAUAGCCGACCUGAGAGGGUGAUCGGCCACACUGGGACGGAGACACGGCCCAGACUCCUACGGGAGGCAGCAGUAGGGAAUCUUCGGCAAUGGACGGAAGUCUGACCGAGCAACGCCGCGUGAGUGAAGAAGGUUUUCGGAUCGUAAAGCUCUGUUGUAAGAGAAGAACGAGUGUGAGAGUGGAAAGCUCACACUGUGACGGUAUCUUACCAGAAAGGGACGGCUAACUACGUG
rnacentral:rRNA from 1 species